GAUGAACGCUGGCGGCGUGCCUAAUACAUGCAAGUCGAGCGAACAGACGAGGAGCUUGCUCCUUUGACGUUAGCGGCGGACGGGUGAGUAACACGUGGGUAACCUACCUAUAAGACUGGGAUAACUUCGGGAAACCGGAGCUAAUACCGGAUAAUAUUUCGAACCGCAUGGUUCGAUAGUGAAAGAUGGCUUUUCUAUCACUUAUAGAUGGACCUGCGCCGUAUUAGCUAGUUGUUAAGGUAACGGCUUACCAAGGCAACGAUACGUAGCCGACCUGAGAGGGUGAUCGGCCACACUGGAACUGAGACACGGUCCAGACUCCUACGGGAGGCAGCAGUAGGGAAUCUUCCGCAAUGGGCGAAAGCCUGACGGAGCAACGCCGCGUGAGUGAUGAAGGUCUUCGGAUCGUAAAACUCUGUUAUUAGGGAAGAACAAACGUGUAAGUAACUGUGCACGUCUUGACGGUACCUAAUCAGAAAGCCACGGCUAACUACGUG
rnacentral:rRNA from 1 species